UACAGAGGUCUCAAGCGUUGUUCGGAUUCAUUGGGCGUAAAGGGUGCGUAGGCGGCGCGGUAAGUCGGGUGUGAAAUUUCGAGGCUUAACUUCGAAACUGCAUUCGAUACUGCCGUGCUUGAGGACUGGAGAGGAGACUGGAAUUUACGGUGUAACGGUGAAAUGCGUAGAUAUCGUAAGGAAGACCAGUGGCGAAGGCGGGUCUCUGGACAGUUCCUGACGCUGAGGCACGAAGGCCAGGGGAGCAAACGGG
rnacentral:rRNA from 1 species